rfam:Giardia lamblia ATCC 50803 SC_573 genomic scaffold, whole genome shotgun sequence.
GCUCGCGUGGUGUAGUUGGUUAUCACAUUCGUUUCACGUACGAAGGGUCUAGGGUUCGAAUCCCUACGCGAGCA